GAUGAAGAACGUAGCGAAAUGCGAUAAGUAGUGUGAAUUGCAGAAUUCAGUGAAUCAUCGAAUCUUUGAACGCACAUUGCGCCCCUUGGUAUUCCAUGGGGCAUGCCUGUUCGAGCGUCAUUUGUACCUUCAAGCUCUGCUUGGUGUUGGGUGUUUGUCUCGCCUCUGCGUGUAGACUCGCCUCAAAACAAUUGGCAGCCGGCGUAUUGAUUUCGGAGCACAGUACAUCUCGCGCUUUGCACUCAUAACGACGACGUCCAAAAGUACAUUUUUACACUCUUGACCUCGGAUCAGGUAGGGAUACCCGCUGAACUUAAGCAUAUCAAUAAGCGGAGGA
rnacentral:misc_RNA from 1 species